rnacentral:misc_RNA from 1 species
AAGUCGUAACAAGGUUUCCGUAGGUGAACCUGCGGAAGGAUCAUUAUCACGUUAUCCACGUUAUAAACCCUUUCUUUGAACUGUUUUAACACUUUGGUAGAGAGAAGGUUGUGAGUUCAUUCUUUUAAUCUCUCUCUACUAUUGUACUUUUUUAUCAAUUCAUUUUGGUAAAACUGAUUAACAAUAUUAACCCAUUUUGAUAAAUUGAACUAAUUUUAUUUUAUACUCUGAUCUUAACCGAAAGGAGAUAAAAUUCAUUACGAAACAAAGAACAACUCUUAGCAACGGAUAUCUUGGUUCUCGUAACGAUGAGGAACGCAGC